rnacentral:rRNA from 1 species
UACGUAGGUGGCGAGCGUUGUCCGGAAUUACUGGGUGUAAAGCGCGUGUAGGCGGCAGGCCAAGUCGGUGGUGAAAGCGCCCGGCUCAACUGGGCGAGGUCCAUGGAAACUGGUCAGCUGGAGGACGGUAGAGGCGAGUGGAAUUCCCGGUGUAGUGGUGAAAUGCGUAGAGAUCGGGAGGAACACCUGUGGCGAAGGCGGCUCGCGUGGCCGGUCCGUCGACGCUGAAACGCGAAGGCGUGGGGAGCGAACGGG